AGCGAACGCUGGCGGCAGGCCUAAUACAUGCAAGUCGAACGGUCUCUUCGGAGGCAGUGGCGGACGGGUGAGUAACGCGUGGGAAUAUGCCCUUUGGUACGGAACAACUGAGGGAAACUUCAGCUAAUACCGUAUGUGCCCUUCGGGGGAAAGAUUUAUCGCCAUUGGAGUAGCCCGCGUUGGAUUAGGUAGUUGGUGGGGUAAAGGCCUACCAAGCCUACGAUCCAUAGCUGGUCUGAGAGGAUGAUCAGCCACACUGGGACUGAGACACGGCCCAGACUCCUACGGGAGGCAGCAGUAGGGAAUCUUGCGCAAUGGGCGAAAGCCUGACGCAGCCAUGCCGCGUGAAUGAUGAAGGUCUUAGGAUUGUAAAAUUCUUUCACCGGGGGAAGAUAAUGACGGUACCCGGAGAAGAAGCCCCGGCUAACUUCGUGCCAGCAGCCGCGGUAAU
rnacentral:rRNA from 1 species